GGAGAGGUGCCAGAGCCAGGUCGAUCGGGCCUCACUGCUAAUGAGGUGUGCUGUAACAGGCACCGCGGGUUCAAAUCCCGCCCUCUCCGCCA
rnacentral:tRNA from 2 species